GAUCACGAACAGUUCCACCAGCUUCUUCUCCUUCCCUUGAGCUACCUUCCCCGCUGGAACAUCCCGCCGGCACCACCUACGUGAACCAGGGGGAAGACUCCCACCAAAGUUGAAGGGAAUAACAACCCGACCCCACAACAAUAUGGGCAGUGCUGGGCAUCUCCCUGUCCACGCACCUCACCAGUAACCGAGCCUAUUGCAUCUCAUGCAAAGAUGAUUUAUCCGCAGCUAUGAAUCCUCCACAUUCAUCUCCAAUUCUUUUAAACACCUCCGAGCUUCUUAAAUGAAGGGGGAGUCCAAUCACCCUUACCCAAACUUCUUUUGCCAUGGGCUCCUUGCGAAUACACCCCACCUCAGGGUUCCAUCUCUCCAAGACUAAAACAUUCUCCUUGAAG
rnacentral:lncRNA from 1 species